AAAUGAAUUGACGGGGACCCGCACAAGCAGCGGAGCAUGUGGUUUAAUUCGAAGCAACGCGAAGAACCUUACCAGGACUUGACAUCCUUCUGACCGCUUCUUAAUCGAAGCUUUCCUUCGGGACAGAAGAGACAGGUGGUGCAUGGUUGUCGUCAGCUCGUGUCGUGAGAUGUUGGGUUAAGUCCCGCAACGAGCGCAACCCUUGUCAUUAGUUGCCAUCAUUAAGUUGGGCACUCUAGUGAGACUGCCGGGGAUAACUCGGAGGAAGGUGGGGAUGACGUCAAAUCAUCAUGCCCCUUAUGUUCUGGGCUACACACGUGCUACAAUGGUCGGUACAGAAAGCAGCAAUACCGUGAGGUGGAGCAAAUCUUGAAAACCGAUCCCAGUUCGGAUUGUAGGCUGCAACUCGCCUACAUGAAGUUGGAGUUGCUAGUAAUCGCAGAUCAGAAUGCUGCGGUGAAUGCGUUCCCGGGUCUUGCACACACCGCCCGU
rnacentral:rRNA from 1 species